UACUCCUACGGGAGGCAGCAGUGGGGAAUCUUGGACAAUGGGGGCAACCCUGAUCCAGCCAUGCCGCGUGAGUGAUGAAGGCCCUAGGGUCGUAAAGCUCUUUCGCCUGUGAAGAUAAUGACGUAGCAGAAGAGACCGCUCCC
rnacentral:rRNA from 1 species